rnacentral:tRNA from 1 species
UGCCGAUGUGGCGGAAUUGGCAGACGCGUACCGUUCAGGUCGGUAUGAUGAUUUCAUCGUGCAGGUUCGACCCCUGUCAUCGGCAU